rnacentral:lncRNA from 1 species
AGGCUUGAUCUACUGUGCUGGGAGGUCUACUCAUAUGAGAUUGCUGAAAUCAAAAUUCCUGACUCUUGAGUUCCACAUGCAGAAAUUCUGUAACCCUUACUAUGUAGAUAAUCACUAUUCUUAAAAACCUCUGCUCUCUCCAACACUUUUACCCAACAAAUUAAUGCUUUUUAUUUACCUAUCUGCAGCAUACAAACCAUUGAAUUUUCUGUAAUUUUCCUUUGCUGGAUUAAUAAAAGCAUUCCUAGGACUCUAUGAAUGAAGGUCUUGGAUCUCAAGCCUGGUAUCUCUUCAUUUGCCUUUCUGAAGGUUGGGGAGUCUAAAAUCAAGGUGCUGACAGGUUUGGCAGAUGAAGAUUGCUCAGAGCUUUCAAGAUUGCUCUCAUGUCUGCAACCAAAACCACCAGAGGGAAAGUAUACUACAUCCUCACAUAGCAGAAUGUGGAAGAGCAAGCUAAUGAACACUACUUAUGGUCUUCUUUGUAAAGAGUCCCAAUCCAUUCACUAGCUAGGAGCCCAAAUGACCCAAUCACCAGUUAAAGAUCCCACCUCUCAAUGCCAUCACAAUGACAACACUUGAAUUUUUGAAGGGACACAUUAAAACCAUAGCAAGCAUUAACUUGUUCUUGAGGGCGUGUACCCUUCACUGCCACACAGUGUGGAUAGAGAGGGAAAAGAAAGAGGGGGAAAAAGGGGAUAGCUUCACCUAAG